rnacentral:misc_RNA from 1 species
GGGCUAUGAUAUUUCUGCUGCCUGCUCAGGAUUCAUUUACGCGCUCGCUACCGGGUCGCAGUUCAUUGAAACAGGCAAAUACAAAAAAGUUCUCGUUGUGGGUGCGGAUAAAAUGUCAUCCAUCAUCGAUUAUUCCGAUCGCUCCACCUGCAUCAUCUUUGGCGAUGGCGCGGGAGCUGUGCUCCUGGAGCCCAGCACUGACGGUACAGGCGUGAUCGAUUCCAUCCUCAAGGCCGAUGGCGCAGGCCGCCACCACCUUCACCAGAAGGCGGGCGGGUCGGUGAAGCCCGCAUCGCAUGCAACUGUUGAUGCAAAGGAGCACUUCGUUUACCAGGAGGGCCAGAAAGUAUACGUUGCCGCUGUAAAAGGAAUGGCAGAUGUUUCGGCCGAGAUCAUGGAAAGGAACAAGCUCACUUCCGAAGAGGUUUCAUGGCUGGUUCCGCACC